rnacentral:rRNA from 1 species
GGGCCCGCACAAGCGGUGGAGUAUGUGGUUUAAUUCGAUGCAACACGAAGAACCUUACCAGGGUUUGAAAUCAUUUCAAAACUCCUUGAAAGAGGAGCCUCCUUCGGGAUGAAAUGACAGGUGGUGCAUGGCUGUCGUCAGCUCGUGUUGUGAAAUGUCGAGUUAAGUCUCGUAACGAGCGCAACCCAUGUCUCUUGUUGCUCACUGAGUGCUUAAGAGAGACUGCCGACCAACAUCGGAGGAAGGUGUGGAUGAUGUCAAGUCAGCAUGCCCCUUACAUCCUGGGCUACACACGUACUACAAUGGUAGGGACAAUGAGCUGCGAUCCUGCGAAGGCUAGCCAAUCUCAAAAACCCUAUCUCAGUUCGGAUUGUACUCUGCAACUCGAGUACAUGAAGGUGGAAUCGCUAGUAAUCGC